rnacentral:rRNA from 1 species
AUACGGAGGGUCCAAGCGUUAUCCGGAUUCAUUGGGUUUAAAGGGUGCGCAGGCGGGCUUGUAAGUCAGUGGUGAAAUACUGCCGCUUAACGGUAGAACUGCCAUUGAUACUGCAAGACUUGAAUAUGGUUGAGGUAGGCGGAAUGUGUUGUGUAGCGGUGAAAUGCAUAGAUAUGACACAGAACGCCAAUUGCGAAGGCAGCUUACUAAGCCAUUAUUGACGCUGAGGCACGAAAGCGUGGGGAGCGAACAGGAUUAGAUACCCCAGUAGUCC